UUGACCUCGGAUCAGGUAGGAAUACCCGCUGAACUUACAACAGGGAUUGCCUUAGUAACGGCGAGUGAAGCGGCAACAGCUCAAAUUUGAAAUCUGGCCCUCGGGUCCGAAUUGCAAUUUGCAGAGGAUGAUUUUGGUGCGGUAUCUUCCGAGUUCCUUGGAACAGGACGCCUUAGAGGGUGAGAGCCCCGUACGGUUGAAUGCCUAGCCUCUGUAAAUCUCCUUCGACGAGUCGAGUAGUUUGGGAAUGCUGCUCUAAAUGGGAGGUAAAUUUCUUCUAAAGCUAAAUAUUGGCCAGAGACCGAUAGCGCACAAGUAGAGUGAUCGAAAGAUGAAAAGCACUUUGAAAAGAGGGUUAAAUAGCACGUGAAAUUGUUGAAAGGGAAGGAUUUGUGACCAGACUUUUUCUGGGCGGAUCAUCCGGGGUUCUCUCCGGUGCACUUUGCCCAGUAAAGGCCAGCAUCGAUUUUCGGCGGCGGAUAAAAGCAGUGGGAAUGUGGCUCCCUACGGGGAGUGUUAUAGCCCAUUGUAUAAUACGCUGCUGGGGAUCGAGGUACGCGCUUCUGCAAGGAUGCUGGCGUAAUGGUUAUCAAUCA
rnacentral:rRNA from 1 species